rnacentral:rRNA from 1 species
CCUACGGGCGGCAGCAGUGGGGAAUAUUGCACAAUGGGCGAAAGCCUGAUGCAGCAACGCCGCGUGAGCGAUGAAGGCCUUCGGGUCGUAAAGCUCUGUCCGCAAAGAAGAGAAUGACGGUACGUGAGGAGGAAGCCCCGGCUAACGACGUGCCAGCAGCCGCGGUAAUACGUAGGGGGCGAGCGUUAUCCGGAAUUACGGGGCGUAAAGGGUGCGUAGGUGGUUUCUGAAGUCAGAGGUUAAAGGCUACGGCUCAACCGUAGUAAGCCUUUGAAACGGGGAAACUUGAGUGCAGGAGAGGAGAGUGGAAUUCCUUGUGUAGCGGUGAAAUGCGUCGAUAUUAGGAGGAACACCAGUUGCGAAGGCGGCUCUCUGGACUGUACCUGACACUGCGGCACG